UUUUCCUGUGUCAUGUAUUUAUACUCCAUUUUACAUAGUAUGGAAAAGAUGUUCCUUUAAUAGUACUGGAGAAAAAGACCACAUUAGAAACAUGCCAAAACCCUUCGUUUCAUUCAACAGAUGCAUUCACUGGAGAUGACAAGGAAACCAGCUGUGUCAAACAUGUUCCAAGAUUCUAAUCAGGGGAAAAGGAAGUUCACAUCUAUCUUCUAUGUUCUACACUUGAAAAAUGCCAGCAAUUCCACAAAACCCUCUAAGUCUGGGGCAAGAAGGAACCCCAAUGCUGGGAGAGGCCAGAGGACUUGCCCCUUUAACCCUCAUCUCGCCGUCACUGUAUGGUGACUUCAGUGCACUCUACAGGAUCUUGUCAGCUGUGUGUGAAAUUUGGUGCCUGAGAGGACACUGUAGUUCUGCGACCCCAGCAAGACCCCAAGGCAUGCAGAAGCAUCUGCCCAUCUGAAGGAGUAACACAGGCAGGUCUCUAACAAAUCAGUUGAGCAAAAUUCAAUAUAAAGUUCAGGUUAGAAGUAUUCUCCAACAUAACCUGUUCCCUUUGUACGCAAGCAUCUACAUACAUCUCCUGCAUAUUAGAUAGAGCCUAUAGCCUGAGCUUCCUUUCAGGGCAAAGGAUGUGGAUUUAUUUGCUCUCAGGUUGCUAGGAGACCUACUAUUUUCCAGCUGUACCCUCUCAGAUAAAAAGAGAUUACUACUUCCACACUUCAAAAACACAAGAUUUUUUUUCUUUUCACCAGGGCUCAGGUCUGGUCAGGGGGUGGUGAGCAUUCUCACGCUGCCAGACCCUCUGGGAGACAAAGUUACAAACUGACCCUGGUUUUGCACCAUUUGGAUAGGAACUACCUGCACAGGCAUCACCUUGCAUAUCUGUAUUUGCCAUGGCAUCUUUCAGAAAAACUAAUAACUACUAUUAAGAAAAGUAAUUCCUUGUAAAAAAUUGAAAGAUAUGGAAAAUCCGAAUUUUACCUGAGCAUUUCAACUUACCCAAAAGUCUGAAAGACAUAACCCCCCAAAAUUUAACGUUAUGAUUAGAAAAAACAUAGGAUGAAGCUCACUAAGUUACACCUUCUGGGUGAUUAGACUGUGCCAUAUUUUAAAUCUUUCAGUGUCAGUGGUCUGAAACAUAAGGUCAUAAAGGGCAUUUACUGUGACAGAGGGAAAGAGGAGUAUAAAGUCCUUUUCAUAUUUAUUCUUGAAUAAGUUUGUUCUCUCUGCUAGCUUUUCUGAUGCAUGGACAAAACCUGAAAGAGAAGCAUAUAAUCUAAAUUAUUUUACUGAUCUGGGCUGACUAUAGCAGCAAGCUUCGUAUCACCAAACUUCAGAAGUCUGUACCUUUACAGACUUUACAGACUUUGAAAAGUUUAGGCCAUUCUUCUGACACUGAGCAAACUUUCAAAUCAGUUUUGGUGCUGACAGUACCCACACACUAAAUAGAGUUUUCAUUUGCAUGCUUUUUCUCCUCACAGAAUGAGUUAGUUUGAGAGCUGUAAAUAUGGUUCUUUGCCUUUGUCCCAGACAGACACAUAUGAGAAAUGUACACUUUAACUUUCCCCAAACCAAUAUUUCCAUGUUCUUUACCUGCUUCCUUUGUUCUGUGUGCAUCAAUCAGUUGAAAAUUGUUCUAUGUCAAAGAAUUUGAAAGUAAAUUAACAUAAGAACUUUCAAUUAGAACUGGUUAUUUAAGCCUGAGAUAUGAGUGUGAAUUGUAUCUUGUUCCCUCCUUCCGGACAGAUUUUCAAGAACAAACUGAAUUUGGAUUACAUAGAAAUCUUCUUGGCAUCAUUGUUAUUUUUUUUUAGAGAUUAAAGAUUUGUUAGAAUGCAUUCUUUCCAUCCUCGCGUGAUUAUGUGCAUAUUGGCCAAUAUUUUUAAACAUGGCGUCCUUGGGCUGAACAUUUUUGAAUAUCUUUGAUUAGUAAAUACAUACUCUGGCUUUCAGACACCCUUGGCAACUCACAAAUAACCAUAAACCUGCAGUGCCUUUUUCACCAUAAGUAACUAAAUACCAGUAAUUAACUGUAAGAGAGCAGAAUUCAGUAGACAUAUUUUCUUUUGAAAUUUCCAGCUUGGCAGUAGAUUGUUACCUUGUGUGUCAUCCUGUUACUGUUAAACAGUUCUUCCAGACCUGAAUGUAUUGAAAUGGGUAAGAUAAAUUUUGUUGAACAGAGCUGUACAAAACCAAUCUGCUGUAGAGAAGAAUAUACAGCCAAAACACAAUUAUAUUAGUUUAGGGAAUUGAAUGAUGUGGCUUAGGUUCAGCAAUACUUUGGAAAACACAGAGCAAGAAAAAGGCAGUUACAAUGAUUUUUAUGAUUCAUUGAAAGAAUAUAUGGUACAAUAGUGACCUUUAAAUCUGGUGAAAA